GGGGGGGGGGGGGGGCGGGGUGGAGCCGGGCGAGUCGGGGGGAGAGGCCCGUGGGGGGGGACGCGAGGGGCGAAGGGGGGGGUCACAGGGGAGUAACCUGGCCUGGAGUUCGGGAUAACUGCAGGAAACUGGGGCUAGUGCCGGAGAGGCAGGCUUGCUGCCUGGGGGGGGUUGGAAAGCUUCGGAGGUUUUGGAUGGACUCGCGGGGUAUCAGCUUGUUGGGGGGGUAGUGGCUUACCAAGGCGUUGACGGGUAGCCGGCCUGAGAGGGCGACCGGCCACAUUGGGACUGAGAUACGGCCCAGACGCCUACGGGAGGCAGCAGUGGGGAAUAUUGCACAAUGGGCGGAAGCCUGAUGCAGCAACGCCGCGUGCGGGAUGACGGCCUUCGGGUUGUAAACCGCUUUCAGCAGGGGCGAAGCUUGUGGUGACGGUACCUGCAGAAGAAGCACCGGCUAACUACGUG
rnacentral:rRNA from 1 species